rnacentral:rRNA from 1 species
GAAACUAACAAGGAUUCCCCUAGUAACGGCGAGUUGAAGCGGGAUGAGCUCAAAUUGAAAUCUGGCUGGUUUACUAGUCCGAGUUGUAAUUUAAAGAAGCGUUUUCGGUGGCAGCCUGGGUAUAAAUCCUUUGGAAUAAGGGUAUCAUAGAGGGUGAGAAUCCCGUCUUUGACCUAGUGCAUGCUACUAUGUGAUACGUUUUCAAAGAGUCGAGUUGUUUGGGAAUGCAGCUCAAAAUGGGUGGUAAAUUUUCAUCUAAAGCUAAAUAUUGGCGAGAGACCGAUAGCGAACAAGUACCGUGAGGGAAAGAUGAAAAGAACUUUGAAAAGAGAGUUAAACAGUGCGUGAAAUUGUUGAAAGGGAAACGUUUGACACCAGUCAUGUGGGUGGAAAAUCAGUCUUUUGCAUUGGGGAGUUGUAAAGGUUCGGACCGCAAGGCCGGCUUUUGCUUCAUCUUUGGUGUAAGGGAUGCACUUUUUCAUCUACAGGUCAACAUCAGUUUCUUUUGCUGGACAAAACUCCGAGAGAAGGUAGCAGCUUAGGCUGUGUUAUAGCUCUGGAGCGAUACAGUGAAGGGGACUGAGGUUUUCGCAGCGUGUGCUCUCGGGCAAGGCUGGAUGGGUGCUAUGGGAUCGUUCGGGGUACAAUGCCUGGCAUUUUGCUUCGUGUCUUUUCUAUACUCGCUCAACUCAGCUCUUCCACGCUUAGGAUGUUGACUUAAUGGUUUUAAACGACCCGUCUUGAAACACGGACCAAGGAGUCUAACAUAUAUGCAAGUGUUUGGGUGGCAAACCCAUGCGCGUAAUGAAAGUGAACGUAGGUGCGAUCCGCAAGGUGCAGCAUCGACCGAUCUUGAUAUUUUUGGAUAGAUUUGAGUAAGAGCAUAUAUGCUGGGACCCGAAAGAUGGUGAACUAUGCCUGAAUAGGGUGAAGCCAGAGGAAACUCUGGUGGAGGCUCGUAGCGAUUCUGACGUGCAAAUCGAUCGUCAAAUUUGGGUAUAGGGGCGAAAGACUAAUCGAACCAUCUUGGAGGCUGCGC